UACGUAGGGUGCAAGCGUUGUCCGGAAUUAUUGGGCGUAAAGAGCUCGUAGGCGGUUCGUCGCGUCGGCUGUGAAAACCCGAGGCUCAACCUCGGGCCUGCAGUCGAUACGGGCGGACUGGAGUUCGGCAGGGGAGACUGGAAUUCCUGGUGUAGCGGUGAAAUGCGCAGAUAUCAGGAGGAACACCGGUGGCGAAGGCGGGUCUCUGGGCCGUAACUGACGCUGAGGAGCGAAAGCGUGGGGAGCGAACAGG
rnacentral:rRNA from 1 species